UAACAACGCAAUUCACCCCGCCGACUACAGCAAGGAUUAACCUCAUUGCCUGCAACUCUCCCACCGCCGACAACGAUCUCCACUUACACUGCCGUCGGAAAUGUCUACGUGCUGCAAAACAUCAAGUGCCCCGCGGACUAGUAUCCUGCGAUAUCUAAAGAGAGUCUAUUCGUCGAAAGAGAAGACAGUCGCACUGGAAAAAGCACGUCCCGAACGACGAACAGAGAGAGGAAACAAGACGAGAGGAGAAAUGAAUCUCUCUCUCGGCGCUGUCUGUUGAGACUGCGAGCGGUCUGAGGCACCCUCUUCCCGAUCCAGCUCUCUCUCAGCAGGGGUGGAUCGACGGCGAACGCGGAACUACCACGGGGAAGAGGGACCGCUGGAAAUAUCAUUUAUCACCGGCGGCACUGUCAAUCCAAGGCGCAUUGAUACGAUGAUGGUCCAGCGACGCCACCACGGUGCCGCUGAUCUUUCCCACUCUCAAAGAUCCAACUGUUCGAUAUUGGAAAUUAAAGCCGAGAGAAGAAACUUGGCGAAGAUGGUUUUCGAGGGGAUCGCGAAUUUUAGUGGUAAGGGUGAAGGAAGUGGCUAGGGGUGGCUCGUAUUAUUCAGGUCCUCGAGGACUGUGGAUUUGCUGGGUUAAUGUAGAGAUUGAUACUGGGUUACUCGUGUACUUUGGUUUGAAGGGUUUCAAGGGCUGGUGGAAUGAGAGUUUCAGGCAAAAUUCGUGAUUCCUCGUGAAGUACUAGUUGGACGGCUAAGAUAGCUUAGGAAAGAUUUUGAGCGUUGCAAUCCAAAUAUUUUGUAAUUAGAUAUCGUAGCCCUUUGAGCGCUGCGUUGUCCGACGUUAGGCGAGCGCUAUGCACGGUCCACUCUUUACAAAGAGGCACCGUGGGCUGCGUAUUUUUUGCGAAAGAACGCAAGUUGAGCGGACUGAAUUUUCAUUGCAAAAAUAUAUCGAUUGUGACUAAAAUAAAUCACGUAGUGACCUGAAAAGCCGUAAUAACCAUUUAUUUCAUUAAGCAAUAAUGACAUGGACAAUAACAAAGUUUGAAAUUAUAUCUUUUAAAUUGAAAAUUUAACAAUUUUGUAUUGUAUGGUAAAUCUGAAAGCAGGGUUCGAUAAUAAGCCAAUGAUACAUUUUUUGCAUUGGUAACGCGAGUCGGUUCUGCGAUUAUGUUUCGUGAAGAAUGUUUAUUAUUUUCUUUAGUCACGCAGCAUGCAGGGGAAUGCUUCUCCAUUAACCGAAAUGGAAGGUCGUCCGAAUGAACUCUUCCUCCUUUAGCCUCCACUCUGCGUGGUGGUAUUUUUGCAAAAUAUCUUUUACAAGAAGCGGAUGAAAAUUUUCAAAUGUUCCUGUUUUAUUAUUAGCACUUAUGUAGAGAAUAUAUGCAUUAUAUAUA